AAAUACCAAAGUAAACACCGUUUUCCUGCUUGUUACUUCCUAGAAAGUAGCACGUCUGGAAAUUGAGAACAAAGUCCUUCAGGAGCAAUUGAAACAGGCUUUACAGGAAGCUGAAAAAGCUAAGCAUCAACUUAACUAUUUCCUAAAUCAAGAGAGGAAGUUACUUAAAAGUGAGGGGAAAACUGAGACAACCAUGCGAGUGGGUAAUAGUCAAACAGAAGUUAAAGGUGAAGAUUCAAAAACUAUACCAUUGGAGAAGGAAACAAGAAAAUCACUGGUUUCAGAUUCAGGUGGACAGAGGGCAAGUGAUAAAAUCCAAGAAUAUCCACAGAUCACUGCCCAAAGCGGAAGACUGAUUGAAAAAAGCUCAGAGAAGAAACGAUCUAGCCCUGCUAUUUCAGAUCUUUCACAGAUCCUUAAGUCUCAAGAUGAAUCAGCAUCUUUAGAGAGUUCAAAUGAAGUUUCAGUUGCUGAAAACCAACCCAAUAAAUCUCCAUCAGAGACCCAUCAUAAAUCACUUACAACAGUAUCAUCCAGCAAAGAAGUUCAAGAUUCACUGUCUGUUGGAACAUUGGCUCAAAAAAAUGAAACAGUGAUGUCACCAUUCGUUUUACCUCCUGUUCUUACAGAAAGUAAAAAGGUAUGAUAUAUAUAGAAAUUUGAAAGCUGUUUAUUUCAUAUUGCUCCUUCACUAUCCCAAAUAAAUGCUAACCCAUUUAAAUGGGUUAAAAAUUCAGUAUUUUCUUAUUUCAAGAGAAUUAAAAGUUUGCCUUUUAACACA
rnacentral:lncRNA from 1 species